CUUAAUAUGAAAUCGGUAUUCUCCAAGCAAAACAGCCACAAAUUUCAACCGCAGCCUCGGCGUACGCUUACAACUUUUAGUGUCAAACGAAAAGCUACUAUUUCGUGGCUGUAGCCAAGGAUUUUCAGUCCAUUUAUAUUGUGUUUAGUUUGUUUUAGUGAUAUUUUAAGUUGGAUUACUCUAUAAAAAUGGCCGCAAGAGUAUUGUGUAUGUUGUACCUUCUAGAAGAAGCUAAAAGGCUAGACGAUUUACACAAAAGACGUCAAAGUCGCAGUAUACGCAAUCUUUAUAAAAUAUCAUCAGACAGAGAUUACAUACGCAACUACAGGCUCACCAGGGAUCUUAUAGAAAUAUUGGAAGACGAUCUCAUGCCUUUUUUGCCCCAACAAGUACGGCGUGGUGGGCUCA